rnacentral:lncRNA from 1 species
GCCUCAUCCUUGGAGGCGAGGAGAAGCACCCACAUGAACCUGCUGUAGUCGUCGACGAGCAGCAGGAUGUAGCGACGCCCUCCUGGCGUUGCCGGGGUGAUUGGGCCGCAGAGGUCCCCGUGAACCAGCUCCAGGGGUUUCUGCGCCCGAUAGCGUGCCUUCUCGGGAAAGGGUAGGCGCCGCUGCUUCCCCGCAAGACACGCAUCGCACAAUUCAUCGGCGUGCUCGAUGUGAGGUAGCCCAUGAACGAGGUUACCUCGCGCCAUCUUCCGCAACCCGUCAAAGUGUUGGUGUCCUAGCCUGGCAUGCCAACGCCACGCGUCGGAGACAUGACCCAUGGCAAGGCACACAGGAUGCACGGGUUGAAAGAAGAAUUUAUAGAGGCGGUUUGGCGAGCGGGUUACCUCGAUAAGUAGCCUCUUCUGCUGGUCGCGCACGGUGAGAACACCGCACCGGAUGCCAAUGUCGAACUAGCCCUCGUCGAGCUGUCCGACACUCACGACGCUGCUCUUGAGCGUCGGGAUGAAGUAGACGUCCGUGAACGCCCUGUGAUCACCCCCUUUGUCGGCGAAGACGGCGGUCCCGCGCCCGUGGAUCUCCACCACGGAUCCGUCCGCGAACGCGCCAAUCGAACCAGUCACGUGGUUCGUGGCGCCGGUGUCAAGGAACCAACCCUCACUUUGCUUGCCGCCUGCAAGCGUGGGUGUGGUCAUGGCUCUCUCCUUGUUGAGGAAGACGCAGCCGCACGCACACACCGUUGUCGGGGAGCCAUCUCCCAUCAUCACGGUGGACCCCGAACACUUCGGCGUUGGGGUGUGGAUGACCUAAGUCUCCGUGCGCUCAUGCACGGAGUCGAUGGUCGCCAGCAUUAUGGUCGGAGCAUGGCCCGCCAUAUGCGUCAUUGCCGCACCAACUUGCGCGACCUUGUCGGGUCCCGAGGUUGUCGGGGACGCUGUCGCCGGGGUGUGGCUCCCCCACACCCGGGCCUUCAUUGCCUCCCAGUCGACAGGCCCCGAGAACGUCGUUGUCGAGGUGUGGCCUGUCACUGGAGUGAUGGUUUCCCUGGACGGGUUCCGUGCCUCCUGCACGAAAUGGGUGGUUGUCGAGGUUGUGGUCGCCGGAGACACUGAGCUCUCCUGCACGGGCUCGACUCUUGCCGGCAUCAUUGCCGGCCCGCCGUCCAUGUCAGCCUGGACGAGGUUUGCCAUUGCCGCGGCUGCCUCGUCGGCUUUCCUCUUGUGGCAAUCCCGGAUCCAGUGACCCAGCAUGUUGCAGUAGCGGCACUUUCCACCGUUGCCAGCGCCUCGCCCUGCCCGGCUUGGCUUGCGCACCGCGGUUGCCGCCAGCGCUCUAGGUGCGGCCUCCGCCUCUUCCGCGACCUCUGCUUCCCGUGGGGGCGCCUCCCCCGCUGCCAGAAGAGCCGUCGCGGUCGCGCUGCUGAAGCUGCGCGUCCCACUGCUCCCUGGUGAGCAGUGUUCGCCGCCAGCACGGUUAUCGGCUUCGUCACCGCGCUCCUCGACAACCUUCAGCCGCCCUACCAGCUCCUCGAUCGUCAUGGUGGAGAGAUCCACCAAACUCUCGAUGGACCAGGCCAGUUGCUUGUACUGCCUGGGAACGACGCGGAGGAACUUGAGAAUCACCAUCUUGUUGUCGAUGGGAUCCCCGAGCGUUGCGUGCUCGUUGACGAGACCUUGCAGCCGCAAGGCGAAGUCGUCGACUUGUUCACCGGCCUUGAACCGGAUUUCCUCGUACUGGAGGCGCAAGUGUUGGGGAACGUUGCAGAAAAUUAAAAAAUUUCCUACGGUUUCACCAAGAUCCAUCUAUGAGUUCAUCUAAGCAACAAGUCAUGGGAGAGAGAUUGCAUCUACAUACCACUUGUAGAUCGCGUACGGAAGCGUUUGAUGGAACGGUGAUGAUGGAGUCGUACUCGCCGUGAUUCAGAUCACCGAUGACCAAGUGCUGAACGGACAGCACCUCCGAGUUCAACACACAUACGGUACGGACGACGUCUCCUCCGUCUUGAUCCAGCAAGAAGGAAGGAGAGGUUGAGGAAGACAGCUCCAACGGCAGCAUGACGGUGUGGUGUUGGUGGAGAAGCAGCACUCCGGCAGGGCUUCGCCAAGCUCGUGACGGAGAAGGAGAGGUGUUGGGGAGGGGAGGGGCUGCGCCUUGGGUUGUGUGUUGCAGCCCUCCCCUCACCCCUCUAUUUAUAGGGGAAGGGGCAAGGGGGGCCGGCCCCUCUAGAUGGGAUCUAGAGGGGGGGCGGCGGCCAGGGAGGGGGGACUUGCCCCCCAAGCAAAGGGGGCGCCCCCUCUAGGGUUCCCCCCAACCCUAGCCGCAUGGGCCCAAGGGGGGGGGGCGCGCCCAGCCCUCUAGGGGCUGGUGCCCUGCCCCAUGCGGCCCAUGUGAUCCACCAAGAGGGGUGGCCCCUCCCGGUGGACCCCCGGAACCCCUCCGGUGGCCCCGGUACAAUACCGAUAUGCCCUGAAACUUUCCGGUGUCCGCAUGACAACUUCCCAUAUAUAAAUCUUUACCUCCGGACCCUUCCGGAACUCCUCGUGACGUCCGGGAUCUCAUCCGGGACUCCGAACAACAUUUGUUAAUCACAUACAAGUCUUCCUAAUAACCCUAGCGUCACCGAACCUUAAGUGUGUAGACCCUACGGGUUCGGGAGACACGCAGACAUGACCGAGACGGCUCUCCGGUCAAUAACCAACAGCGGGAUCUGGAUACACAUGUUGGCUCCCACAUGCUCCUCGAUGAUGUCAUCGGAUGAACCACGAUGUCGAGGAUUCAAGCAACCCCGUAUACUAUUCCCUUUGUCAAUCGGUAUGUUACAUGCCCGAGACUCGAUCGUCGGUAUCCCAAUACCUCGUUCAGUCUCGUUACCGGCAAGUCACUUUACUCGCACCGUAAUGCAUGAUCCCGUGACCAAACACUUGGUCACUUUGAGCUCAUUAUGAUGAUGCAUUACCGAGUGGGCCCAGAGAUACCUCUCCGUCAUACGGAGUGACAAAUCCCAGUCUCGAUCCGUGUCAACCCAACAGACACUUUCGGAGAUACCUGUAGUGCACCUUUAUAGUCACCCAGUUACGUUGUGACGUUUGGUACACCCAAAGCACUCCUACGGUAUCCGGGAGUUACACGAUCUCAUGGUCUAAGGAAGAGAUACUUGACAUUGGAAAAGCUCUAGCAAAACGAACUACACGAUCUUGUGCUAUGCUUAGGAUUGGGUCUUGUCCAUCACAUCAUUCUCCUAAUGAUGUGAUCCCGUUGUCAACGACAUCUAAUGUCCGUAGUCAGGAAACCAUGACUAUCUGUUGACCAACGAGCUAGUCAACUAGAGGCUUACUAGGGACAUAUUGUGGUCUAUGUAUUCACACGUGUAUUACAAUUUCCGGAUAAUACAAUUAUAGCAUGAAUAAAAGACAAUUAUCAUGAACAAGGGAAUAUAAUAAUAAUCCAUUUAUUAUUGCCUCUAGGGCAUAUUUCCAACAGUCUCCCACUUGCACUAGAGUCAAUAAUCUAGUUACAUUGUGAUGAAUCGAACACCCAUAGAGUUCUGGUGUUGAUCAUGUUUUGCUCGCGAGAGAGGUUUAGUCAACGAAUCUGCGACAUUCAGAUCCGUAUGUACUUUGCAAAUAUCUAUGUCUCCAUCUUGAACAUUUUCACGGAUGGAGUUGAAAUGACGCUUGAUAUGCCUGGUCUUCUUGUGAAACCUGGGCUCCUUGGCAAGGGCAAUAGCUCCAGUGUUGUCACAGAAGAGUUUGAUCGGCCCCGACUCAUUGGGUAUGACUCCUAGGUCGGUGAUGAACUCCUUCACCCAAAUUGCUUCAUGCGCUGCCUCCGAGGCUGCCAUGUACUCCGCUUCACAUGUAGAUCCCGCCACGACGCUCUGCUUGCAGCUGCACCAGCUUGCUGCUCCACCAUUCAACAUAUACACGUAUCCGGUUUGUGACUUAGAGUCAUCCAGAUCUGUGUCAAAGCUAGCAUCGACGUAACCCUUUACGACGAGCUCUUCGUCACCUCCAUAAACAAGAAACAUGUCCUUCGUCCUUUUCAGGUACUUUAGGAUAUUCUUGACCGUUGUCCAGUGUUCCUUGCCGGGAUUACUUUGGUACCUUCCUACCAAACUUACGGCAAGGUUUACAUCAGGUCUGGUACACAGCAUGGCAUACAUAAUAGAUCUUAUGGCUGAAGCAUAGGGGAUGACACUCAUCUCUUCUUUAUCUUUUGCCGUGGUCGGGCAUUGAGCCGAGCUCAAUCUCACACCUUGCAAUACAGGCAAGAACCCCUUCUUGGACUGAUCCAUUUUGAACUUCUUCAAAAUCUUAUCAAGGUAUGUGCUUUGUGAAAGACCUAUGAGGCGUCUCGAUCUAUCUCUAUAGAUCUUGAUGCCUAAUAUAUAAGCAGCUUCUCCAAGGUCCUUCAUUGAAAAACACUUAUUCAAGUAGGGCUUAAUGCUGUCCAAAAGUUCUAUAUCAUUUCCCAUCAAAAGUAUGUCAUCUACAUAUAAUAUGAGAAAUGCUACAGAGCUCCCACUCACUUUCUUGUAAACGCAGGCUUCUCCAUAAGUCUGCAUAAAUCCAAACGCUUUGAUCAUCUCAUCAAAGCGAAUGUUCCAACUCCGAGAUGCUUGCACCAGCCCAUAAAUGGAUCGCUGGAGCUUGCAUACUUUGUUAGCAUUCUUAGGAUCGACAAAACCCUCCGGUUGCAUCAUAUACAGUUCUUCCUUAAGAUGCCCGUUAAGGAAUGCCGUUUUGACGUCCAUCUGCCAUAUCUCAUAAUCAUAGUAUGAGGCAAUUGCUAACAUGAUUCGGACGGACUUAAGCUUCGCUACGGGAGAGAAAGUCUCAUCGUAGUCAAUCCCUUGAACUUGGCGAUAACCCUUAGCGACAAGUCGAGCUUUAUAGAUGGUGACAUUACCAUCCGCGUCCGUCUUCUUCUUAAAGAUCCAUUUGUUUUCUAUCGCUCGCCGAUCAUCGGGCAAGUCAGUCAAAGUCCAUACUUUGUUUUCAUACAUGGAUUCUAUCUCGGAUUUCAUGGCUUCUAGCCAUUUGUUGGAAUCUGGGCCCGCCAUUGCUUCUUCAUAGUUCGAAGGUUCACCGUUGUCCAACAACAUGAUUUCCAGGACAGGGUUGCCGUACCACUCUGGUGCGGAACGUGUCCUUGUGGACCUACGAAGUUCAGUAGCAACUUGAUCCGAAGUACCUUGAUCAUCAUCAUUGUUUUCCUCUUCAGUUGGUGUAGGCAUCACAGGAACAUUUUCCUGAGCUGCACUACUAUCCCGUUCAAGAGGUAGUACUUCAUCGAGUUCUACUUUCCUCCCACUUACUUCUUUCGAGAGAAACUCUUUUUCCAGAAAGGAUCCGUUCUUGGCAACAAAGAUCUUGCCCUCGGAUCUUAAGUAGAAGGUAUACCCGAUGGUUUCUUUAGGGUAUCCUAUGAAGACGCAUUUUUACGACUUGGGUUCGAGCUUUUCAGUUUGAAGUUUCUUGACAUAAGCAUCGCAUCCCCAAACUUUUAGAAAUGACAGCUUAGGUUUCUUCCCAAACCAUAAUUGAUACGGUGUCGUCUCAACGGAUUUAGAUGGUGCCCUAUUUAAAGUGAAUGUAGCUGUCUCUAGAGCGUAUCCCCAAAAUGAUAGCGGUAAAUCGGUAAGAGACAUCAUAGAUCGCACCAUAUCCAAUAGAGUGCGAUUACGACGUUCGGACACACCAUUACGCUGAGGUAUUCCAGGCGGCGUGAGUUGUGAAACGAUUCCACAUUUUCUUAAGUGUGUACCAAAUUCGUGACUUAAAUAUUCUCCUCCACGAUUCGAUCCUAAGAAUUUUAUCUUUCGGUCACGUUGAUUCUCUACUUCAUUCUGAAAUUCCUUGAACUUUUCAAAGGUCUCAGACUUGUGUUUCAUCAAGUAGACAUACCCAUAUCUACUCAAGUCAUCAGUGAGAGUGAGAACAUAACGAUAUCCUCCGCGAGCCUCAACGCUCAUUGGACCGCACACAUCGGUAUGUAUGAUUUCCAACAAGUUGGUUGCUUGCUCCAUUGUUCCGGAGAACGGGGUCUUGGUCAUUUUGCCCAUGAGGCAUGGUUCGCAUGUGUCAAAUAAUUCAUAAUCGAGAGACUCUAAAAGUCCAUCAGCAUGGAGCUUCUUCAUGCGCUUGACACCAAUGUGACCAAGGCGGCAAUGCCACGAGUAUGUGGGACUAUCGUUAUCAACUUUACAUCUUUUGGUAUUCACGCUAUGAAUAUGUGUAACAUUACGUUCGAGAUUCAUUAAGAAUAAACCAUUGACCAUCGGGGCAUGACCAUAAAACAUAUCUCUCAUAUAAAUAGAACAACCAUUAUUCUCAGAUUUAAAUGAGUAGCCAUCUCGUAUUAAACGAGAUCCAGAUACAAUGUUCAUGCUCAAACUUGGCACUAAAUAACAAUUAUUGAGGUUCAAAACUAAUCCCGUAGGUAAAUGUAGAGGUAGCGUGCCGACGGCGAUCACAUCGACCUUGGAACCAUUCCCGACGCGCAUCGUCACCUCGUCCUUCGCCAGUCUCCGCUUAUUCCGUAGCUCCUGUUGUGAGUUACAAAUGUGAGCAACGGCACCGGUAUCAAAUACCCAGGAGUUACUACGAGUACUAGUAAGGUACACAUCAAUUACAUGUAUAUCAAAUAUACCUUUAGUGUUGCCGGCCUUCUUGUCUUCUAAGUAUUUGGGGCAGUUCCACUUCCAGUGACCCUUCCCCUUGCAAUAAAAGCACUCAGUUUCAGGCUUGACUCCAUUCUUUGACUUCUUCCCGGCAACUGGCUUACCGGGCGCGGCAACAUCUUUGCCGUCCUUCUUGAAGUUCUUCUUACCCUUGCCCUUCUUGAACUUAGUGGUCUUAUUGACCAUCAACACUUGAUGUUCUUUCUUGAUUUCAACCUCUGCUGACUUUAGCAUUGAAAAUACUUCAGGAAUGGUCUUCACCAUCCCCUGCAUAUUGUAGUUCAUCACAAAGCUCUUGUAGCUUGGUGGGAGCAACUAAAGGAUUCUGUCAAUGACCGCCUCAUCUGGGAGGUUAAUGUCCAGCUGGGACAGGCGGUUGUGCAACCCAGACAUUUUGAGUAUAUGCUCACUGACAGAACUAUUUUCCUCCAUCAUACAACUAUAGAACUUGUCGGAGACUUCAUAUCUCUCGACCCGGGCAUGAGCUUGAAAAACUAGUUUCAGCUCCUCGAACAUCUCAUAUGCUCCGUGUUGCUCAAAACGCUUUUGGAGCCCUGGUUCUAAGCUGUAAAGCAUGCCGCACUGAACGAGGGAGUAAUCAUCAGCACGAGACUGCCAAGCAUUCAUAAUGUCUUGGUUCUCUGGGACGGGUGCAUCACCUAGCGGUCCUUCUAGGACAUAUUGUUUCCUGGCAGCUAUGAGGAUGAUCCUCAGGUUCCGGACCCAGUCCGUAUAGUUGCUGCCAUCAUCUUUCAGCUUGGUUUUCUCUAGGAACGCGUUGAAGUUCAUGUUAACAUGAGCGUUGGCCAUUUGAUCUACAAGACAUAUUUGCAAAGGUUUUAGACUAAGUUCAUGAUAAUUAAGUUUAUCUAAUCAAAUUAUUAUAAUGAACUCCCACUCAGAUUAGACAUCCCUCUAGUCAUCUAAGUGUUACACGAUCCGAGUCGACUAGGCCGUGUCCGAUCAUCACGUGAGACGGACUAGUCAUCAUCGGUGAACAUCUCCAUGUCGAUCGUAUCUUCCAUACGACUCGUGUUCGACCUUUCGGUCUCUGUGUUCCGAGGCCAUGUCUGUACAUGCUAGGCUCGUCAAGUUAACCCUAAGUGUUUUGCAUGUGUAAAACUGUCUUACACCCGUUGUAUGUGAACGUAAGGAUCUAUCACACCCGAUCAUCACGUGGUGCUUCGAAACGACGAACUUUAGCAACGGUGCACAGUUAGGGGAGAACACUUCUUGAAAUUGUUGUAAGGGAUCAUCUUAUUUACUACCGUCGUUCUAAGUAAACAAGAUGCAUAAACAUAAUAAACAUCACAUGCAAUUAUAUAGUAGUUGCCAGCGCCUCGCCCUGCCCGCCUUGGCUUGCGCACCGCGGUUGCCGCCAGCGCUCUGGGUGCGGCCUCCGCCUCUUCCGCGACCUCUGCUUCCUGUGGGGGCUCCUCCCCCUCUGCCGGAAGAGCCGUCGCAGCCGCACUGCUGAAGCUGCGCGUCCCACUACUCCUUGGUGAGCAGUAGUUCACCGCCAACACGAUUGUCGGCUUCGUCGCCGCGCCCCUCGACAACCUUCAGCCGCCCUACCAGCUCCUCGAUCGUCAUGGUGGAGAGAUCCACCAAACUCUCGAUGGACCAGGCCAGUUGCUUGUACUGCCUGGGGACGACGCGGAGGAACUUGAGAAUGACCAUCUUGUUGUCGAUGGGAUCUCCGAGUGUUCCGAGCUCGUUGACGAGACCUUGCAGCCACAAGGCGAAGUCGUCGACUUGUUCACCGGCCUUGAACCGGAUUUCCUCGUACUAGAGGCGCAAGGUCUGGGCCUUCGACUCCCGUACGCGCUCCACGCCGAUGCGCAGAGUCUUGAUGGUCUCCCAUGCUUCCUUGGCCGUCUCCUUGGCGCCAAGGGUGAGCACCAUCUCCUCUGGGACGGAGCGCAAGAUCGCUUCCAUCGCCCGCCGGUCCUCCUUGUACUCGACAUCGUCGGUUUCCACGGCUUUCCACAUAUGCCUCGUCUCCAUGAUGACAUUUGUCAUGAUGGACCAACUGGGGUAGUUGGUCCGCGUGAGGAGAGGGAAGGAGGUACUGGACAUGCCCACGUCUCGCACGGAGCGUGGCGCACCCAGCUCACCUCCCGGCCUGCCUCGCAGCGCGAGCGCGUCCACCGCACGGGUGUCCUCAGCCGAGCUCUGCCCGGCGGUCUUGGAGCCGUCGCCGGCGACGCCUUCCUUCGGCAUAUGCUUCGGCAUAACCUGAGGCUCUGAUGCCAAUUGUUAGCCCGAAACUACAAAUAGCUAGCUCUCACUUUGUACUAAUCAGAGGAAGCCUAGCUAAAACCAGCGGCUGCACACAAGCUGCUCUCACUCUCACUCACGUACAGAUGAACUCACACACACCCACGUACUGAGAGGACACACUCACGGGCAAAGGAGGAAUACUGGAGUGGCUUGAUGCCUUUCUUGAUUGGAAUGAAAUGCUUACAACCGGGGGACUUGGGACCUAUUUAUAGGUGAUUACAAACCGACUAUAGAACUAAGAUAUUUCUACUAGAUGCCCGCCUCAGCUCAUACGUGCACUAGACUAGAAACUACUACUAGUUACUAGCUAGCUUGCCUUAACUAGUAAGUCACGCAAGUGCUGCCGACUUGUCGACCUGCCGUUUUACUUCGUAGGUAAGUAAUUUGCUGCUCCUGCUGUUGCCGACAUGCAGCCAUGCAUGUAUCUGAGACGUAAAUGCUGCUGCUGCCGUUGUGUGAACUGGAAGACCAAGUUUAACUCAACAUUCUCCCCCUCAAACUUGUCUAAGGAGCUUGGUGUCGAUGAUCCCGACCUUGUCGCACAGCUCCUGGAACCGGACACGACCAAGUGACUUGGUCAGGAUGUCCGCCUUCUGCUCACCAAUCCGGAUGAACUCCACUAUCACCGUGCCUUUCUCGACGCAGUCACGUAUGAAGUGAUAGCGGAGAUCGAUGUGCUUGCUGCGAUCGUGAAGCACUGGAUUCUUGGAGAGGGAAAUCACCGACUUGUUGUCGACGAAGAUGAGCGCAGGGGCGGUGUCCUGAUUCAGCAUCUCGCCGAGAAGGCGAGCAAGCCAAAUGCCUUGACAAGCCGCUGUAGCUGCCGCGAUGUACUCUGCCUCGCACGAAGAUACGGCGACAACCUUAUGCCUCACCGAUUGCCAGCUGACGGGACUAUUCCCAAGAAGGAAUAGUAUGCCUGAGGUGCUCUUCCGGGAGUCCACGUCACCAGCGUGGUCGGAGUCGCUGUACCUGACCUGCCGACCAAGCUCUCGCCAUCGCCACGAUGAUACACGCAUCCAUGCGUGAGCGUACUCGCGAUGUACCGGAGCAGGUGCUUGAUGGCAGCCAGGUGAUCGCUUGCCGGAGCUUCCAUGAACCUACUCAAGUACCCGACAACAAACGUGAUGUCCGGUCGAGUGUGCACAAGGUACCUGAGACUCCCGAUGAUGCUACGGUAGAGUGUAGCAUCUACCGUCUUCUCGGAGCUCUCCUUGCUGAGCUUCAGCCAUGCCUCCAUUGGAGCAUGCACGGCAUGGCAGUCCUUCAUGCCUGCUCGCUCAAGCAUCUUCGUGGCGUAGGCCGUCUGCAUGAUCGUGAUGCGACCACCCUCCUGGUUCACCUCCAGCCCCAGGUAGUAACGGAGCAGCCCAAGGUCGCUCAUGCUGAAGAGACGAUGCAUCUCUCCCUUGAAGCGUUGAACCUCUUUAGGCUCUGCCCCGGCAAUGACCAAGUCGUCGACGUAGAUGCCGAUGAUGAGCAGCGUGUUCGCGGUGCCACGCGAGUACACACCAUGCUUAGAAACGCUGCGUGAGAACCCAAGGGAUGCGAGGCUUGCAUCAAGCUUGGCAUUCCACGCCCUUGGGGCUUGCCGGAGACCGUACAGGGCCUUGUGUAGUCGAUACACGUCCUGCUCGUGGCCCUUGGCAACGAACCCAGGUGGCUGGGAGAUGUACACCUCCUCGUUAAGGUCGCCGUUCAGAAACGCCGACUUGACAUCCAUGUAGUGUACCUCCCACCCGCGGUGAGCGGCCACGGCAAGGAUGAGCCGCACCGACUCCAGCCUUGCCACCGGAGCGAAGACUUCCUCGAAGUCCACUCCCUCACGCUGCACGUAGCCCUUUGCGACGAGGCGCGCCUUGUGCUUGACAAUGGCACCGUGCUUGUCCUUCUUCACCUUGAACACCCACUUGAGCCCGAUGGCUCGGUGCCCGGCAGGCAGUGUGGUGAGUGUCCAAGUGGCGUUGUCGUUGAUCGGCGCCAGCUCGUCCAGCAUCGCGUGGCACCAGCAAUCCUCUUGCUCGGCCUCCGCGAACGUGGUCGGCUCCUCGCCGGCCAUCAGAUGCAAGACCUCGUCGUCAUCAGCGUCCUCAUCCUCGGGCUGUUGCGGUGUUGCCACAGCCUCGCCGAGGAGAUCCCCCAUGCGCCGAAACCUGUGGGGGGCGCCAACGCUGUCGUCGGUGUCGAACAGCUCCGACCUCGCUGUUGGCGGGGUGGCGAACUGCCUCCUGGGACCCACGUUGCUUGACGUCGUGGUGUCCAGUGACACCGUACCCGGGGACGGUGUUCUCGGGGUUGCUGAUCCCGGAUCCACACCUCCCGAGCUUCCCGGGGUGGCACUUCCCGAGGUCUUGCUUCCCCGGGUUGUAGAGUACAUCGGGUACUCCACAGUGAAGGAGCUGCUUGCCGGGGCCUCACCCGACGCCUCCCAAGUCCAUCGUGCGUCUUCGUCGAAGAUGACGUCGCGCGAGACAUGCACACGCUUGGAGAUGGGGUCGUACAUCUUGUAUGCCUUAGAGCCCGUCUCGUAGCCCAUGAACACCAUUGGGGUGCUCCUGUCGUCGAGCUUCUUCAGCUGUGGGCGCGUCGUCUUGACGUGCCCGACACAGCCAAAAGUACGGAGGAAGCGUACAUCGGGCUUCCUCCAAUACCACGCCUCAUAAGGCGUCUUGCCAUCGACGCUCCUUGUGAAGGAGCGGUUGAGGAUGAAGACGGCCGUGAGCACGGCCUCCCCCCAAUACGUGCUCAGCACCUGCUUUGCCUUGAGCAUGCAGCAUGUGAAGGAAAUAUGCCCUAGAGGCAAUAAUAAAGUUAUUAUUUAUUUCCUCAUAUCAUGAUAAAUGUUUAUUAUUCAUGCUAGAAUUGUAUUAACCGGAAACAUGAUACAUGUGUGAAUACAUAGACAAACAUAAAGUCACUAGUAUGCCUCUACUUGACUAGCUCAUUAAUCAAAGAUGGUUAUGUUUCCUAACCAUAGACAUGUGUUGUCAUUUGAUUAAUGGUAUCACAUCAUUAGGAGAAUGAUGUGAUUGACAUGACCCAUUCCGUUAGCCUAGCACUUGAUCAUUUAGUAUGUUGCUAUUGCUUUCUUCAUGACUUAUACAAAGUUCCUACAACUAUGAGAUUGUGCAACUCACGUUUACCGGAAGAACACUUUGUGUGCUACCAAACGUCACAACGUAACUGGGUGAUUAUAAAGGUGCUCUACAGGUGUUUCCGAAGGUGCAUGUUGGGUUGGCAUAAUUCGAGAUUAGGUUUUGUCACUCCGAUUGUCGGAGAGGUAUCUCUGGGCCCUCUCGGUAAUACUCAUCACCUAAGCCUUGCAAGCAUUGUAACUAACGAGUUAGUUAUAAGAUGAUGUAUUACAGAACGAGUAAAGAGACUUGCCGGUAACGAGAUUGAACUAGGUAUUGGAUACCGACGAUCAAAUCUCGGGCAAGUAACAUACUGAUGACAAAGGGAACAACGUAUGUUGUUGUGCGGUUUGACCGAUAAAGAUCUUCGUAGAAUAUGUAGGAACCAAUAUGGGCAUCCAGGUUCCACUAUUGGUUAUUGACCGGGAAUAGUUCUAGGUCAUGUCUACAUAGUUCUCGAACCCGUAGGGUCCGCACGCUUAAUGUUACGAUGACAGUUUUAUUAUGAGUUUACAAGUUUUGAUGUACCGAAGUUUGUUCGGAGUCCCGGAUGUGAUCACGGACAUGACGAGGAGUCUCGAAAUGGUCGAGACAUAAAGAUUGAUAUAUUGGACGACUAUAUUUGGACACCGGAAGUGUUCCGGGUGAUUUCGGAGAAAACCGGAGUGCCGGAGGGUUACCGGAACCCCCCCCCCCCUCCCCGGAGAGUUAAUGGGCCACAUGGGCCUUAGUGGGAAGAGAGAGGGGCGGCCAGGAAGGGCCGCGCGCCCCCUCUCCCUCUAGUCCGAAUUGGACUAGGAGGGGGGCGGCGCCCCCCUCUUUCCUUCCCCUCCUCUCCCCCUUCCUUCCCCUCCUAGUAGGAGUAGGAAAGGAGGAGUCCUACUCCUACUAGGAGGAGGACUCCUCCUCCUGGCGCGCCCAACAAGUGCCGGCCGGCCUCUCCCCUCCCUCCUUUAUAUACGAGGGCAGGGGGCACCCCAAAUACACACAAGUUGAUCUACGGAUCGUUCCUUAGCCGUGUGCGGUGCCCCCCUCCACCAUAUUCCACCUCGGUCAUAUCGUCGCGAAGUUUAGGCGAAGCCCUGCGCCGAUAGAACAUCAUCAUCGUCACCACGCCGUCGUGCUGACGGAACUCUUCCUCGAAGCUUUGCUGGAUCGGAGCCCGGGGAUCGUCAUCGAGCUGAACAUGUGCUGAACUCGGAGGUGCCGUACGUUCGGUGCUUGGAUCGGUCGGAUCGUGAAGACGUACGACUACAUCAACCGCGUUGUCAUAACGCUUCCGCUUACGGUCUACGAGGGUACGUGGACGAACACUCUCCCCUCUCGUUGCUAUGCCAUCACCAUGAUCUUGCGUGUGCGUAGGAAUUUUUUUGAAAUUACUAUGUUCCCCAACAGUGGCAUCUGAGCCUGGUUUUAUGCGUAGAUGUCAUAUGCACGAGUAGAACACAAGUGAGUUGUGGGCGAUAUAAGUCAUACUGCUUACCAGCAUGUCAUACUUUGGUUUGGCGGUAUUGUGAGAUGAAGCGGCCCGGACCGACAUUACGCGUACGCUUACGCGAGACUGGUUUCACCGCUACGAGCACUCGUUGCUUAAAGGUGACCGGCGGGUGUCUGUCUCUCUCACUUUAGCUGAAUUGAGUGUGGCUACGCCCGGUCCUUGCGAAGGUUAAAACAGCACCAACUUGACAAACUAUCGUUGUGGUUUUUGAUGCGUAGGUAAGAACGGUUUUUGCUAAGCCCAUAGCAGCCACGUAAAACUUGCAACAACAAAGUAGAGGACGUCUAACUUGUUUUUGCAGGGCAUGUUGUGAUGUGAUAUGGUCAAGACGUGAUGCUAUAUUUUAUUGUAUGAGAUGAUCAUGUUUUGUAACCGAAGUUAUCGGCAAUUGGCAGGAGCCAUAUGGUUGUCGCUUUAUUGUAUGAAAUGCAAACGCCCUGUAAUUGCUUUACUUUAUCACUAAGCGGUAGCGAUAGUCGUAGAAGCAAUAGUUGGCGAGACGACAACGAUGCUACGAUGAAGAUCAAGGUGUCGCGCCGGUGACGAUGGUGAUCAUGACGGUGCUUCGAAGAUGGAGAUCACAAGCACAAGAUGAUGAUGUCCAUAUCAUAUCACUUAUAUUGAUUGCAUCUGAUGUUUAUCCUUUAUGCAUCUUAUCUUGCUUUGAUUGAUGGUAGCAUUUUAAGAUGAUCUCUCACUAAAAUUAUCAAGAAGUGUUCUCCCUAAGUAUGCACCAUUGCCAAAGUUCAUCGUGCCCAGACACCACGUGAUGAUCGGGUGUGAUAAGCUCUACGUCCAUCUACAACGGGUGCAAGACAGUUUUGCACACGCGGAAUACCCAGGUUAAACCUGACGAGCCUAGCAUAUGCAGAUAUGGCCUCGGAACACGAAGACCGAAAGGUCGAGUGUGAAUCAUAUAGUAGAUAUGAUCAACAUAGUGAUGUUCACCGUUGAAAACUACUCCAUCUCACGUGAUGAUCGGUUAUGGUUUAGUUGAUUUGGAUCACGUGAUCACUUAGAUGACUAGAGAGAUGUCUGUCUAAGUGGGAGUUCUUAAGUAAUAUGAUUAAUUGAACCUAAAUUUAUCAUGAACUUAGUACCUGAUAGUAUUUUGCUUGUCUAUGUUUGUUUGUAGAUAGAUGGCUCAUGCUGUUGUUCCGUUGAAUUUUAAUGCGUUCCUUGAGAAAGCAAAGUUGAAAGAUGAUGGUAGCAAUUACACGGACUGGGUCCGUAACCUGAGGAUUAUCCUCAUUGCUGCACAGAAAAGUUACGUCCUGGAAGCACCGCUGGGUGCCAGGCCUGCUGCUGAUGCAACUGACGACGUUAAGAACGUCUGGCAGAGCAAAGCUGAUGACUACUCUAUAGUUCAGUGUGCCAUGCUUUACGGCUUAGAACCGGGUCUUCAACGACGUUUUGAACGUCAUGGAGCAUAUGAGAUGUUCCAGGAGUUGAAGUUAAUAUUUCAAGCAAAUGCCCGGAUUGAGAGAUAUGAAGUCUCCAAUAAGUUCUACAGCUACAAGAGGGAGGAGAAUAGUUCUGUUAGUGAGCAUAUACUCAAAAUGUCUGGGUAUAAUAAUCACUUGAUUCAACUGGGAGUUAAUCUUCCGGAUGAUAGCGUCAUUGACAGAAUUCUCCAAUCACUGCCACCAAGCUACAAGAGCUUUGUGAUGAACUAUAAUAUGCAAGGGAUGAACAAUACAAUUCCCGAGCUCUUCGCAAUGCUAAAAGCUGCGGAGGUAGAAAUCAAGAAGGAGCAUCAAGUGUUGAUGGUCAACAAGACCACUAGUUUCAAGAAAAAGGGCAAAGGGAAGAAGAAGGGGAACUUCAAGAAGAACAGCAAGCAAGUUGCUGCUCAACAGAAGAAACCCAAGUCUGGACCUAAGCCUGAAACUGAGUGCUUCUACUGCAAGCAAACUGGUCACUGGUAGCGGAACUGCCCCAAGUAUUUGGCGGAUAAGAAGGAUGGCAAAGUAAACAAAGGUAUAUGUGAUAUACAUGUUAUUGAUGUGUACCUAACUAGAGCUCGUAGUAGCACCUAGGUAUUUGAUACUGGUUCUGUUGCUAAUAUUUGCAACUCGAAACAGGGACUACGGAAUAGCGAGCACUGGCCAAGGACGAGGUGACGAUGCGCGUGGGAAACGGUUCCAAAGUCGAUGUGAUCGCGGUCGGCAUGCUACCUCUACAUCUACCUUCGGAAUUAGUUUUAGACCUGAAUAAUUGUUAUUUGGUGCCAGCGUUGAGCAUGAACAUUAUAUCUGGAUCUUGUUUGAUGCGAGACGGUUAUUCAUUUAAAUCAGAGAAUAAUGGUUGUUCUAUUUAUAUGAGUAAUAUCUUUUAUGGUCAUGCACCCUUGAAGAGUGGUCUAUUUUUAUUAAAUCUCGAUAGUAGUGAUACACAUAUUCAUAGUGUUGAAACCAAAAGAUGCAGAGUUAAUAAUGAUAGUGCAACUUAUUUGUGGCACUGCCGUUUGGGUCAUAUCGGUGUAAAGCGCAUGAAGAAACUCCAUACUGAUGGACUUUUGGAAUCACUUGAUUAUGAAUCACUUGGUACUUGCGGACCGUGCUUUAUGGGCAAGAUGACUAAAACGCCGUUCUCCGGAACUAUGGAGCGACCAACUGAUUUGUUGGAAAUCAUACAUACUGAUGUUUGUGGCCCAAUGAAUGUUGAGGCUCGCGGCGGGUAUCGUUAUUUUCUCACCUUCACUGAUGAUUUGAGCAGAUAUGGGUAUAUCUACUUGAUGAAACACAAGUCUGAAACAUUUGAAAAGUUCAAAGAAUUUCAGAGUGAAGUGGAAAAUCAUCAUAACAAGAAAAUAAAGUUACUACGAUCUGAUCGUGGAGGAGAAUAUUUGAGUUAUGAGUUUGGCGUACACUUGAAACAAUGUGGAAUAGUUUCGCAGCUCACGCCACCUGGAACACCACAACGAAAUGGUGUGUCCGAACGUCGUAAUCGUACUUUACUGGAUAUGGUGCGAUCUAUGAUGUCUCUUACUGAUUUACCGCUAUCAUUUUGGGGUUAUGCUUUAGAGACGGCCGCAUUCACGUUAAAUAGGGCACCAUCAAAAUCCGUUGAGACGACGCCUUAUGAACUGUGGUUUGGCAAGAAACCAAAGUUGUCGUUUCUUAAAGUUUGGGGAUGCGAUGCUUAUGUGAAGAAACUUCAACCAGAUAAGCUCGAACCUAAAUCGGAGAAAUGUGUCUUCAUAGGAUACCCAAAAGAGACUAUUGGGUACACCUUCUAUCACAGAUCCGAAGGCAAGACAUUCGUUGCUAAGAAUGGAUUCUUUCUAGAGAAGGAGUUUCUCUCGAAAGAAGUGAGUGGGAGGAAAGUAGAACUUGAUGAGAUAACUGUAUCUACUCCCUUAUUGGAAAGUAGUUCAUCACGAGAACCGGUUCCUGUGACAACUACACCAAUUAGUGAGGAAGCUAAUGAUAAUGAUCAUGAAACUUCAGAUCAAGUUUCUACUGAACCUCAUAGGUCUACCAGAGUAAGAGCCACACCAGAGUGGUACGGUAAUCCUAUUCUGGAAGUCAUGUUACUUGACCAUGAUGAACCUACGAACUAUGAGGAAGCGAUGAUGAGCCCGGAUUCCGCAAAAUGGCUAGAAGCCAUGAAAUCUGAGAUGGGAUCCAUGUAUGAAAACAAAGUAUGGACUUUGGUUGACUUGCCCAAUGAUCGGCAAGCCAUUGAGAAUAAAUGGAUCUUUAAGAAUAAGACUGACGCUGAUGGUAAUAUAACUGUCUAUAAAGCUCGACUUGUUGCAAAAGGUUUUCGACAAGUUCAAGGGGUUGACUACGAUGAGACUUUCUCACCCGUAGCGAUGCUUAAGUCCGUCCGAAUCAUGUUAGCUAUUGCUGCGUUUCAUGAUUAUGAAAUUUGGCAAAUGGAUGUCAAGACUGCAUUCUUGAAUGGAUUUCUAGAAGAAGAGUUGUAUAUGAUGCAGCCGGAAGGUUUUGUUGAUCCAAAAGGUGCUGACAAAGUGUGCAAGCUCCAGCGUUCCAUUUAUGGACUGGUGCAAGCAUCUCGGAGUUGGAAUAAACGCUUUGAUAGUGUGAUCAAAGCAUAUGGUUUUAUACAGACUUUUGGAGAAGCCUGUAUUUACAAGAAAGUGAGUGGGAGCUUUGUAGCAUUUCUAAUUUUAUAUGUAGAUGACAUAUUAUUAAUUGAAAAUGAUAUAGAAUUUCUGGAUAGCAUAAAAGGAUACUUGAAUAAAAGUUUUUCAAUGAAAGACCUCGGUGAAGCUGCUUACAUAUUGGGCAUCAAGAUCUAUAGAGAUAGAUCAAGACGUUUAAUAGGACUUUCACAAAGCACAUACCUUGACAAAAUUUUGAAAAAGUUCAAAAUGGAUCAGGCAAAGAAAGGAUUCUUGCCUGUGCUACAAGGUGUGAAGUUGAGUCAAACUCAAUGCCCGACCACGGCAGAAGAUAGAGAGAAAAUGAAAAAUGUUCCCUAUGCUUCAGACAUAGGCUCUAUCAUGUAUGCAAUGCUGUGUACCAGACCUGACGUAUGCUUAGCAAUAAGCUUGGCAGGAAGGUACCAAAGUAAUCCAGGAGUGGAUCACUGGACAGCGGUCAAGAACAUCCUGAAAUACCUGAAAAGGACUAAGGAUAUGUUUCUCGUAUAUGGAGGUGACAAAGAGCUAGUCGUAAACGGUUACGUCGAUGCAAGCUUUGACACUGAUCCGGGCGAUUCUAAAUCGCAAACCGGAUACGUAUUUUUAUUAAACGGUGGAGCUGUAAGUUGGUGCAGUUCUAAACAAAGUGUCGUAGCAGGAUCUACAUGUGAAGCGGAGUACAUAGCUGCUUUGGAAGCAGCAAAUGGAGGAGUCUGGAUGAAGGAGUUCAUUUCUGAUCUAGGUGUCAUACCUAGUGCAUCGGGACCAGUGAAGAUCUUCUGUGACAAUACUCGUGCAAUUGCCUUGGCAAAGGAAUCCAGAUUUCACAAGAGGACCAAGCACAUCAAGAGACGCUUCAAUUCCAUUCGGGACCAAGUCCAAGUGGGAGACAUAGAGAUUUGCAAGAUACAUACGGAUCUGAAUGUUGCAGACCCGUUGACUAAGCCUCUCUCACGAGCAAAACAUGAUCAGCACCAAGACUCCAUGGGUGUUAGAAUCAUUACUAUGUAAUCUAGAUUAUUGACUCUAGUGCAAGUGGGAGACUGAAGGAAAUAUGCCCUAGAGGCAAUAAUAAAGUUAUUAUUUAUUUCCUCAUAUCAUGAUAAAUGUUUAUUAUUCAUGCUAGAAUUGUAUUAACCGGAAACAUGAUACAUGUGUGAAUACAUAGACAAACAUAAAGUCACUAGUAUGCCUCUACUUGACUAACUCAUUAAUCAAAGCUGGUUAUGUUUCCUAACCAUAGACAUGUGUUGUCAUUUGAUUAAUGGGAUCACAUCAUUAGGAGAAUGAUGUGAUUGACAUGACCCAUUCCGUUAGCCUAGCACUUGAUCGUUUAGUAUGUUGCUACUGCUUUCUUCAUGACUUAUACAAAGUUCCUACAACUAUGAGAUUGUGCAACUCACGUUUACUGAAAGAACACUUUGUGUGCUACCAAACGUCACAACGUAACUGGGUGAUUAUAAAGGAGCUCUACAGGUGUUUCCGAAGGUGCAUGUUGGGUUGGCAUAAUUCGAGAUUAGGUUUUGUCACUCCGAUUGUCGGAGAGGUAUCUCUGGGCCCUCUCGGUAAUACUCAUCACCUAAGCCUUGCAAGCAUUGUAACUAAUGAGUUAGUUAUAAGAUGAUGUAUUACACAACGAGUAAAGAGACUUGCCGGUAACGAGAUUGAACUAGGUAUUGGAUACCGACGAUCAAAUCUCAGGCAAGUAACAUACCGAUGACAAAGGGAACAACGUAUGUUGUUGUGCGGUUUGACCGAUAAAGAUCUUCGUAGAAUAUGUAGGAACCAAUAUGGGCAUCCAGGUUCCGCUAUUGGUCAUUGACCGAGAAUAGUUCUAGGUCAUGUCUACAUAGUUCUCGAACCCGUAGGGUCCGCACGCUUAACGUUACGAUGACAGUUUUAUUAUGAGUUUACAAGUUUUGAUGUACCGAAGUUUGUUCGGAGUCCCGGAUGUGAUCACGGACAUGACGAGGAGUCUCGAAAUGGUCGAGACAUAAAUAUUGAUAUAUUGGACGACUAUAUUCGGACACCGGAAGUGUUCCGGAUGAUUUCGGAGAAAACCGGAGUGCCGGAGGGUUACCGGAACCCCUCCCGGAGAGUUAAUGGGCCACAUGGGCCUUAGUGGGAAGAGAGAGGGGCGGCCAGGAAGGGCCGCGCGCCUCCUCUCCCUCUAGUCUGAAUUGGACUAGGAGGGGGGCGGCGCCCCCCUCUUUCCUUCCCCUCCUCUCCCCCUUCCUUCCCCUCCUAGUAGGAGUAGGAAAGGAGGAGUCCUACUCCUACUAGGAGGAGGACUCCUCCUCUUGGCGCGCCCAACAAGGGCCGGCCGGCCUCCCCCCUCCCUCCUUUAUAUACGGGGGCAGGGGGCACCCCAAAUACACACAAGUUGAUCUACGGAUCGUUCCUUAGCCGUGUGCGGUGCCCCCCUCCACCAUAUUCCACCUCGGUCAUAUCGUCGCAGAGUUUAGGCGAAGCCCUGCGCCGGUAGAACAUCAUCAUCGUCACCACGCCGUCAUGCUGACGGAACUCUUCCCCGAAGCUUUGCUGGAUCGGAGCCCGGGGAUCGUCAUCGAGCUGAACGUGUGCUGAACUCGGAGGUGCCGUAUGUUCGGUGCUUGGAUCGGUCGGAUCUGAAGACGUACGACUACAUCAACCGCAUUGUCAUAACGCUUCCGCUUACGGUCUACGAGGGUACGUGGACGAACACUCUCCCCUCUCGUUGCUAUGCCAUCACCAUGAUCUUGCGUGUGCGUAGGAAAUUUUUUGAAAUUACUACGUUCCCCAAUAGCGUGCCAUCCCGAGCACCGUUUGGUUCCUCCGCUCGACGAUGCCAUUCUGCUGCGGCGAGUAAGGGGCUGUGAGGUGACGUUGCACCCCUUUCUCGUUGCAGUGCUUGUAGAACGUGUCCGACGUGAACUCGCCGCCACGGUCCGUGCGUAGAACGCGCAGCUUGUGGCCGCACUCGACCUCUGCUGCCGCUUGCUGCUUGACGAUGGCUGGCUCCGCCUCAUCCUUGGAGGCGAGGAGAAGCACCCACAUGAACCUGCUGUAGUCGUCGACGAGCAGCAGGAUGUAGCGACGCCCUCCUGGCGUUGUCGGGGUGAUUGGGCCGCAGAGGUCCCCGUGAACCAGCUCCAGGGGUUUCUGCGCCCGAUAGCGUGCCUUCUCGGGAAAGGGCAAGCGCCGCUGCUUCCCGGCAAGACACGCAUCGCACAAUUCGUCGGCGUGCUCGAUGUGAGGUAGCCCAUGAACGAGGUUGCCUCGCGCCAUCUUUCGCAACCCGUCAAAGUGCUGGUGUCCUAGCCUGGCAUGCCAACGCCACGCGUCGGAGACAUGACCCAUGGCAAGGCACACAGGAUGCACGGGUUGAAAGAAGAAUUUAUAGAGGUGGUUUGGCGAGCGGGUUACCUCGAUAACUAGCCUCUUCUGCUGGUCGCGCACGGUGAGAACACCGCACCGGAUGCCGAUGUCGAACCAGCCAUCGUCGAGCUGUCCGACACUCACGACGCUGCUCUUGAGCGUCGUAUGAAGUAGACGUCCGUGAACGCCCUGUGAUCACCCCCUUUGUCGGCGAAGACGACGGUCCCGCGCCCGUGGAUCUCCACCACGGAUCCGUCCGCGAACCGCACCUUCCCGGUGAUUAAGCGGUCCAGCUCCGCGAACGCGUCGAUCGAACCAGUCAUGUGGUUCGUGGCGCCGGUGUCGAGGAACCAACCCUCACUUUGCUUGCCGCCUGCAAGCGUGGGUGUGGUCAUGGCUCUCUCC